AAAAAGAAGAAAAGGAAAAAACAACAUCACUGUUUGUUUUCUUUAAAUUAUACUUGCAUUUUCUUCUUUUUUUUCAAUCUUCGUUGUCCCUCUUUUAGAAAACAGAGAGAAACA
rnacentral:ribozyme from 13 species